UUAAGCCAUGCGAGUCGAACGAGUUUAGGCUCGUGGCGUACGGCUCAGUAACACGUGGAUAAUCUACCCUUAGGACCGGGAUAACCCUGGGAAACUGGGGACAAUACUGGAUAGGCAAUUAUUCCUGUAAUGGUUUUUUGUUUAAAUGUUUUUUCGCCUGAGGAUGAGUCUGCGGCCGAUUAGGUAGUUGGUUAGGUAAUGGCUUACCAAGCCGUUGAUCGGUACGGGUUGUGAGAGCAAGAGCCCGGAGAUGGAACCUGAGACAAGGUUCCAGGCCCUACGGGGUGCAGCAGGCGCGAAACCUCCGCAAUGUGGGAAAUCGCGACGGGGGGAUCCCAAGUGCCAUUCCUAACGGGAUGGCUUUUCAUUAGUGUAAAGAGCUUUUGGAAUAAGAGCUGGGCAAGACCGGUGCCAGCCGCCGCGGUAA
rnacentral:rRNA from 1 species